UGGCCGAGAUGAUUGGCGAGUUCCCAGACC
rnacentral:piRNA from 1 species